AGUCUCUUGUCAUGGGUAGAUUUUAAGCAGAGCAAGGAUCUUAAGAAAACUGAUGGGACAAAGAGGCAGAGGAUAACUGGGAUUACCAAACUAGAAGAUGCUAAUGAUGCCGGAGGGAAGAGCUCUGAUAAAUGUACCUUGAUUUUGACAGAAGGUGUUUCAGCGAAGGCACUUGCGUGUUCUGGGAAUUAUACUUGGAGGUGGAGUUGGGACUCGUCUUUACCCUCUUACAAAGAAGAGAAAACCAGCUGUUCCUUUAGGGGCAAAUUAUCACCUGAUUGACAUUCCAGUCAGCAAUUGCCUGAACAGCAACAUAUCAAAGAUCUAUGUUCUUACACAAUUCAAUUCUGCAUCUCUAAAUCGUCACCUUUCACGGGCAUACACAAGUACAUGGGUGGCUACAAGAAUGAAGGUUUUGUUGAAGUUCUUGCUGCUCAGCAAAGCCCGGAGAACCCCAAUUGGUUCCAGUUGCCUUCUAUGUUGCUUGUGCAAGGAGCACUGCCAAAUUUGUCAGCUCCUACAGCCUUAUUGCAAACUGCAGAUACCCACUCCUCCCAUUUGAUGCAGCCUCAGGCUUCAUCUUAUGGAUCUAUACCACCUUCACAGAUA